rnacentral:rRNA from 1 species
CAAUCAAACUGAGAGAUAGCUCGUUCUCCCCGAAAUGUUUUUAGGAACAGCGUCGCAUUUUAGAAGUAUCAUAGAGGUAGAGCUACUGAUUGGGCUAGGGGGCUUCACCGCCUACCAAACCCUGACAAACUCCGAAUGCUAUGAUAUAUCUGCGGCAGUGAGGCUGUGGGCGCUAAGGUCCAUGGCCGAGAGGGAAAUAACCCAGAUUACCAGCUAAGGUCCCUAAUACAUAGUUAAGUUGAUCAAACGAGGUGGAGUUUCUAUAACAGCCAGGAUGUUGGCUUGGAAGCAGCCAUUCAUUUAAAGAGUGCGUAACAGCUCACUGGUCGAGAGACUCUGCGCGGAAAAUAAUCGGGCAUCAAACUAUCAACCGAAGCUGUAAGAUUGCCAUUUAAUUGGUACAUCGGUAGGGGAGCAUUCUAACCUGCGUUGAAGGUGUGUGGCGAUGCAUGCUGGAGCGGUUAGAAAAGAAAAUGUAGGCAUAAGUAACGAUAAAUAAUGUGAAAAACAUUAUCGCCGUAAGUCCAAGGUUUCCUGAUCAAUGUUAAUCAGAUCAGGGUUAGUCGGGUCCUUAGGCAAACCCGAAAGGGGUAGCUGAUGGCAAGUUGGUUAAUAUUCCAACACCUGCUUUAGUUUCGACGGGGUGACGAGGUAGUGAAAAGACCGGGUACAGACGGAAUUGUACCUUAAAGGGUGUAGUUAUAUUUUUUGCAGGUAAAUCCGCAGAGAAUGGCGAACCUGAUAGUACAGCAAAGCUUCGGCAGCGCUGAUAGUGUCUGUAAUCAUACCUCCAAGAAAAACCUCUAAGGCUAGGCUAAAGCGGCCCGUACCGUAAUCCGACACAGGUGGACGGGAUGAGUAUUCUAAGGCGCUCGGGUGAGCCGUGGAGAAGGAACUAGGCAAAUUAACGCUGUAACUUCGGGAUAAAGCGUACCCACUUCGGUGGGUCUCAGUAAAAUGGUACAACCAACUGUUUAGCAAAAACACAGGGCCCUGCAAAAUCGAAAGAUGACGUAUAGAGCCUGAUACCUGCCCGGUGCUGGAAGGUUAAGGAAGGAUGUUCGGCGCAAGCCAAAGCUUCUGACUGAAGCCCCAGUAAACGGCGGCCGUAACUAUAACGGUCCUAAGGUAGCGAAAUUCCUUGUC